CCUACGGGCCGCAGCAGUGGGGAAUCUUAGACAAUGGGGGCAACCCUGAUCUAGCCAUGCCGCGUGAGUGAUGAAGGCCUUAGGGUUGUAAAGCUCUUUCAGCUGGGAAGAUAAUGACGGUACCAGCAGAAGAAGCCCCGGCUAACUCCGUGCCAGCAGCCGCGGUAAUACGGAGGGGGCUAGCGUUGUUCGGAAUUACUGGGCGUAAAGUGCACGUAGGCGGAUUGAAAAGUUGGGGGUGAAAUCCCGGGGCUCAACCCCGGAACUGCCUCCAAAACUGUCAGUCUUGAGGUCGAGAGAGGUGAGUGGAAUUCCGAGUGUAGAGGUGAAAUUCGUAGAUAUUCGGAGGAACACCAGUGGCGAAGGCGGCUCACUGGCUCGAUACUGACGCUGAGGUGCGAAAGCGUGGGGAGCAAACAGGAUUAGAUACCCGUGUAGUC
rnacentral:rRNA from 1 species